rnacentral:rRNA from 1 species
AUGCAUAAGCUUAGUGAAGUGGUCAAUCCUAUUAUUUCUCUUGACCAGACUGCCUUCAUAAAAGGAAGAUAUAUAAUGGAGGGAGUAGCGGUGCUACAUGAAACUUUAAACUCUAUCUGUCACAAAAAACAGAAUGCUCAUUCGUUUAAAGUGGAUUUUGAAAAAGAAUAUGACAAAACUAAAUGGCCUUUUUUCUAUCAAAUGCUAAAACAAAAAAAAACUGAUAAAUGGUGUGAUUGGAUUAUGAAAACUAUGGGGCACGUUGGUAUCAAACUCAAUGACACUAUAUUGCCAUACAUCAAACUCCACAAAGGACUAAGACAGGGGGAUGUUUUUUGA